AAAGGAAUUGACGGGGGCCCGCACAAGCGGUGGAGCAUGUUGGUUAAUUGGAUGAUACGCCAAGAACCUUACCAGGGCUUGAAAUGGUGGGGACAGCCGGUGAAAGCCGGUCUCCGUAGCAAUACGGUCCCAUCACAGGUGGUGCAUGGUUGUCGUCAGCUCGUGUCGUGAGAUGUUGGGUUAAGUCCCGCAACGAGCGCAACCCUCGCCGGAUGUUGCCAUCGGUCACGCCGGGAACUCUUCCGGGACUGCCCGAGUAAUCGGGAGGAGGGAGGGGACGACGUCAAAUCGGCAUGCCCCUUACGCCCUGGGCUGCAAACGUGCUACAAUGGCCGGUACAAAGGGUUGCUAAGCCGCGAGGUGGAGCCAAUCCCCCAAAGCCGGCCCCAGUUCGGAUUGGGUGUCUGCAACUCGACCCCAUGAAGUCGGAAUCGCUAGUAACCGUGGAUCAGCAAUGCCACGGUGAAUACGUUCCCGGGCCUUGUACACACCGCCCGU
rnacentral:rRNA from 1 species